GAUGAACGCUGGCGGCGUGCCUAAUACAUGCAAGUAGAACGCUGAAGGAGGAGCUUGCUCUUCUGGAUGAGUUGCGAACGGGUGAGUAACGCGUAGGUAACCUGCCUGGUAGCGGGGGAUAACUAUUGGAAACGAUAGCUAAUACCGCAUGACAACAGUUAUUGCAUGAUAACUGUUUAAAAGGGGCAACUGCUCCACUACCAGAUGGACCUGCGUUGUAUUAGCUAGUUGGUGAGGUAACGGCUCGCCAAGGCGACGAUACAUAGCCGACCUGAGAGGGUGAUCGGCCACACUGGGACUGAGACACGGCCCAGACUCCUACGGGAGGCAGCAGUAGGGAAUCUUCGGCAAUGGACGGAAGGCUGACCGGGCAACGCCGCGGGAGUGAAGAAGGUUUUCGGAUCGUAAAGCUCUGUUGUAAGAGAAGAACGAGUGUGAGAGUGGAAAGUUCACACUGUGACGGUAUCUUACCAGAAAGGGACGGCUAACUACGUG
rnacentral:rRNA from 1 species